rnacentral:rRNA from 1 species
UGGUGGAUUGAUUUGUCUGGUUUAUUCCGAUAACGAACGAGACUCCAACCUACUAAAUAGUGCAGAGAUUUUUAGUCUUUGUUCACUUCUUAGAGGGACAAGCUGUGUUUAGUCAGCAUGAGAAGGAGCAAUAACA